UACGAAGGGGGCUAGCGUUGCUCGGAAUCACUGGGCGUAAAGCGCACGUAGGCGGCUUUCUAAGUCAGGGGUGAAAUCCUGGAGCUCAACUCCAGAACUGCCUUUGAUACUGGAGAGCUUGAGUCCGGAAGAGGUGAGUGGAACUCCGAGUGUAGAGGUGAAAUUCGUAGAUAUCUGGAGGAACACCGGUGGCGAAGGCGGCAUCCUGGACCGGUAUUGACGCUGAGGCGCGAAAGCUAGGGGAGCAAACGGG
rnacentral:rRNA from 1 species